CGUUUGACCAGCUCUGAGAAAAGUGAGCAGUUUAACGUAAUUUUCAUAAACUGUUUACUUUUCUCAGAGCUGGUCAAACUGCUACAAAUAAAUCUAUUUUCUGUUGAAAGCUAACACAUUCGUGGUUGUUAUUGCGGUCCUAUAUUUAUGAAAAGGGAUUCUGUUGUAAAGAUAUAUUAUCAAAAGUAAACUAAUAUCCAGUAUUUAAGAAACGCCCAAAUGUGUGCUUUUCAACAAAGCACCGA